ensembl:lncRNA LINC02201 long intergenic non-protein coding RNA 2201
GGAUGAAGCCAACACUCAGAGAAUGACAAAAUCAAAACUUGGAGAUUAACUGACCUCAUAUAGCAUUGCAUAAGCCCCUGAAUCAAGUUAUGCCUGAAGCUUAGUCCUUGAGCCUUCAACUACAUGAACCAAUAUAUUUCUCUAAUUAACCAGGACCUUUUUAUUGCAUUGGGCCCAUCUGGAUAUCCCAGGAUAAUCUCCCUACUUCAAGAGAGAAUGAAGGCAAGGAGAAUGUAAGAACUCAGAAGGCAAGAAGAGAAGCUGGCAUUAGAAUGCGGUUGAACAAGAGAAAGAGUUGGAGAUGCUGAGUUCUGGAGGCAGAUCUACCUAAGAAAAUGGUUAUUUGAAGAAGUGAUUGACUCCAGGGCGAGAGCAAGAAAAGUACAAUAAGAAUUUAAAACAUCUUCCACAGCCGGAAAGUAAGAAGUAUUCAAAAGUGCAGGAAGUGGUUGAAUCUGGCAUCUCAGACAUGGUUGGAGCUAUCUAUUUAAUAAUGGGCUGGAAACUUAAUUGCAUGGGAGUUGAAGAGCUUCCUGGAAAAGUACUCCUGUGAGUCCUUGCUUGAUCCUCAGACAAAUCAGCAUUUCUGACAGUAGAGUGGAGCAAUCUUACAGAAGGCUGUUGGCAAAAUUUAAUGAAAGUUCUUCCAGAAGAGAGUUCCUAUGGGUGAAGUUCCAGACAUGUGAGCAUGACUCAGGAUACGAGUUCUAGGGAGGAGGACAGACAAAUCUGAGUGCCAUAUGCUGUCAGUCAUCAGGAUUUGUCUUUCAGCAAAGCCCCUUUAGCAGAGCAAGAAGAUUUUGAGUGAAAUGACUAAGAGCUGCCCUACUGAAUUAUGUCAUAUAUAUUUAACACCAUGGUAUUGGAGUCCUUGCAAUAAUGUUACACAAAAAUGUAGGGAGCCCCUCUUCUGCAGUUUGAAAGCUAAGGGCUAGAGGGUCACUAGGUAGAAUUACAGAAUCUGGUCCAGGAAUGAGGAAGAUCAUGACACCCAGGAGAACACUGUAUAUUUGAGGUUAAAUAAAAUGCAUCUUUUU